UACGUAGGGGGCAAGCGUUGUCCGGAAUCAUUGGGCGUAAAGCGCGUGUAGGCGGCCAGGUAAGUCCGUUCUGAAAGCCCGGGGCUCAACCCCGGGAGGCGGAUGGAUACUGCUUGGCUCGAGUCCGGAAGAGGCGAGUGGAAUUCCCGGUGUAGCGGUGAAAUGCGCAGAUAUCGGGAGGAACACCAACGGCGAAGGCAGCUCGCUGGGACGGUACUGACGCUGAGACGCGAAAGCGUGGGGAGCAACAGGG
rnacentral:rRNA from 1 species